UUAUUAUUAUUAAUGAUUCCUAUUAGAAUUAGAACUCCUUUUAUCAUCUUUAUUCUUUAUCUUAGUAGGAGAUAUACAUAGAAAAUAAUUUUUUUAUAUUUAUCAAAAGCUCUUUAGAAACUAGUAUAAAUAUGGGAUCCAUUUUCAAACCCUAAAAGAGACGGACACACUAAUUAAUUAGGGUUUUAGAGAGCAGAGAGGGCCAGAAACGUGUGGAGUCAGAUUUUCGCAGGAAAUCAAGUUCUGGCAGUUUCAGGAGAACGGCCAUAACUUCCUCCACAGAACUCCGAUUCAAGCGAAACAGGCGGCCACGGAAAGCUCUCUCGAAGACGAAGAAGUCGUAUUUCUGGGCAAAAUACGAUUUGAGGACGUUUGAGGCUUCAAACGAAGGCUUGAAGCUGACUGGUCUGUUCAGCUGCGAUUUUGACGAAUUCUUCUGGUGCGGCGCUAUUAAGACCUUCUUUCCGGUUUUGUUUUGUUUCGACAUUAAGUUUUGCAGUUUUAGUGUCGAGGUGGCCAUGGAAGUCGAGAAUGACUAGAGAUUUAGUAUUUCCAUAGAAAUUUAAGUUGAAACAUGUUACUUUUUAGUUUAUCAUUUUAUUUCAUGUUACUACUUUAGUUUUGACAAGUUGAUUUUAAAUUGGUUUAAACUUUUAUAAUUCAAGAAAUUUUAUUUUUAUA